AGGGUUCGAUUCUGGCUCAGGAUGAACGCUAGCGGCAGGCUUAACACAUGCAAGUCGAGGGGUAACAGGGAGUAGCAAUACUCUGCUGACGACCGGCGCACGGGUGCGUAACGCGUAUGCAACCUACCUGUAACAGGGGUAUAACGGAGGGAAACUUCCACUAAUCCCCCAUAUUCUUGCGGAUUCGCAUGUUUCUGCAAGGAAAGCUUUGGUGGUUACGGAUGGGCAUGCGUGACAUUAGGUAGUUGGCGGGGCAACGGCCCACCAAGCCGACGAUGUCUAGGGGAGCUGAGAGGCUUAUCCCCCACACUGGUACUGAGACACGGACCAGACUCCUACGGGAGGCAGCAGUGAGGAAUAUUGGUCAAUGGAGGAAACUCUGAACCAGCCAUGCCGCGUGGGGGAAGAAGGUCCUAUGGGUUGUAAACCCCUUUUGUUCCAGAGUAAUAAGGGCUUUGCGAAGCCUGAUGAGAGUAUGGGACGAAUAAGCAUCGGCUAACUCCGUGCCAGCCGCUGC
rnacentral:rRNA from 1 species